rnacentral:rRNA from 2 species
ACGGCUAACUACGUGCCAGCAGCCGCGGUAUACGUAGGUGGCAGCGUGUCCGAUUUAUUGGCGUAAAGCGAGCGCAGCGGUUUUUUAGUCUGAUGUGAAGCCUUCGGCUCUACCCGAAGAAGUGCAUCGGAAACUGGAGACUUGAGUGCAGAAGAGGACAGUGGAACUCCAUGUGUAGCGGUGAAAUGCGUAGAUAUAUGGAAGAACACCAGUGGCGAAGGCGGCUGUCUGGUCUGUAACUGACGCUGAGGCUCGAAAGUAUGGGUAGCAAACAGGAUUAGAUACCCUGGUAGUCCAUACCGUAAACGAUGAAUGCUAAGUGUUGGAGGGUUUCCGCCCUUCAGUGCUGCAGCUAACGCAUUAAGCAUUCCGCCUGGGGAGUACGGCCGCAAGGCUGAAACUCAAAGGAAUUGACGGGGGCCCGCACAAGCGGUGGAGCAUGUGGUUUAAUUCGAAGCUACGCGAAGAACCUUACCAGGUCUUGACAUACUAUGCAAAUUUAAGAGAUUAGACGUUCCCUUCGGGGACAUGGAUACAGGUGGUGCAUGGUUGUCGUCAGUUCGUCUCGUGAGAUUUUGGGUUAAGUCCCGCAACGGGCGCAACCCGUUAUUAUCAGUUGCCAGCAUUAAGUUGGGCACUCUGGUGAGACUGCCGGUGACAAACCGGAGGAAGGUGGGGAUGACGUCAAAUCAUCAUGCCCCUUAUGACCUGGGCUACACACGUGCUACAAUGGAUGGUACAACGAGUUGGGAACUCGCGAGAGUAAGCUAAUCUUUUAAAGCCAUUGUCAGUUCGGAUUGUAGGCUGCAACUGGCCUACGUGAAGUGGGAAUCGUUAGUG